rnacentral:rRNA from 1 species
GCGUGAUUGCAGAUUCCGUGAAUCAUCGAGUCUUUGAACGCACAUUGCGCCCCCUGGUAUUCCGGGGGGCAUGCCUGUCCGAGCGUCAUUGCUGCCCAUCAAGCACGGCUUGUGUGUUGGGUCGUCGUCCCCUCUCCGGGGGGGACGGGCCCCAAAGGCAGCGGCGGCACCGCGUCCGAUCCUCGAGCGUAUGGGGCUUUGUCACCCGCUCUGUAGGCCCGGCCGGCGCUUGCCGAACGCAAAUCAAUCUUUUCCAGGUUGACCUCGGAUCAGGUAGGGAUACCCGCUGAACUUAAGCAUAUCAAUAAGCGGAGGAAUCUU